rnacentral:rRNA from 1 species
UACAGAGGUCUCGAGCGUUGUUCGGAUUCAUUGGGCGUAAAGGGUGCGUAGGUGGCGCUGUAAGUCGGGUGUGAAAUCCUGAGGCUUAACCUCGGAACUGCAUUCGAUACUGCGGUGCUUGAGGACUGGAGAGGAGACUGGAAUUCAUGGUGUAGCAGUGAAAUGCGUAGAGAUCAUGAGGAAGACCAGUGGCGAAGGCGGGUCUCUGGACAAUUGCUGACGCUCAGGCACGAAAGCGUGGGGAGCAAAAGGG